rnacentral:rRNA from 1 species
GAUGAACGCUGGCGGCGUGCCUAAUACAUGCAAGUCGAACGAGUGGCGGACGGGUGAGUAAUGUCUGGGAAACUGCCCGAUGGAGGGGGCUAACUACUGGAAACGGUAGCUAAUACCGCAUACACUCGGAUGUGCCCAGAUGGGAUUAGCUAGUAGGUGGGGUCACGGCUAACCUAGGCGACGAUCCCGAGCUGGUCUGAGAGGAUGACCAGCCACACUGGAACUGAGACACGGUCCAGACUCCUACGGGAGGCAGCAGUGGGUAAUAGUGCAGAAUGGGCACAAGCCUGAUGCAGCCAUGCCGCGUGUAUGAAGAAGGCCUUCGGUUUGUAAAGUACUUUCAGCGAGUAGGCGUUACUCGCAGAAGAAGCACCGGCUAACUCCGUGCCAGCAGCCGCGGUAAUAC